GUCAGGUUGGCCGAGCGGUCUAAGGCGCCAGAUUUAAGCUCUGGUUCCCAAACGGGAGCGUGGGUUCGAUCGAACCCCACACCUGACA
rnacentral:tRNA from 2 species